rnacentral:misc_RNA from 1 species
GUAGGUGAACCUGCGGAAGGAUCAUUAUCACGUAAUAAUCCACGUUAUAAACCCUUCUUUGAAUUGUUUAAAACACUAAAUUUCUGGAACAGCUUUGUGCUGGAAUGCUUCUGGAUUGGGAUAUGGAAAUUUUAACAACACGCUGUCUUAUAAAUUUAUUUAUGAGAUUGAAAUGGGAAAAUUAUUGUAAUUUGAGAUCCCAGAGUAUUGUUAAUAGUUCAUAACCAGCAAUUCGUUAGCGUCUAAGAAA